rnacentral:rRNA from 1 species
AGAAUCAACGCUGGCGGCGUGCCUAACACAUGCAAGUCGCACGAGAAAGGGGAGCAAUCCCUGAGUAAAGUGGCGCACGGGUGAGUAACACGUGAAUAAUCUACCUCCGAGUGGGGAAUAACUGAGAGAAAUCUUAGCUAAUACCGCAUAACACUUACGAGUCAAAGCAGCAAUGCGCUUGGAGAGGAGUUCGCGGCCGAUUAGUUAGUUGGCGGGGUAAUGGCCCACCAAGACGAUGAUCGGUAUCCGGCCUGAGAGGGCGCACGGACACACUGGAACUGAAACACGGUCCAGACUCCUACGGGAGGCAGCAGUGGGGAAUUUUGCGCAAUGGGGGAAACCCUGACGCAGCAACGCCGCGUGGAGGAUGAGGCCCCUUGGGGUGUAAACUCCUUUCGAUCGGGAAGAUAAUGACGGUACCGAUAUAAGAAGCCCCGGCUAACUUCGUGCCAGCAGCCGC